rnacentral:rRNA from 1 species
ACACGUGGUAUCCUGUCUGAAUAUGGGGGGACCAUCCUCCAAGGCUAAAUACUCCUGACUGACCGAUAGUGAACCAGUACCGUGAGGGAAAGGCGAAAAGAACCCCGGCGAGGGGAGUGAAAAAGAACCUGAAACCGUGUACGUACAAGCAGUGGGAGCACGCUUAGGCGUGUGACUGCGUACCUUUUGUAUAAUGGGUCAGCGACUUAUAUUCUGUAGCAAGGUUAACCGAAUAGGGGAGCCGAAGGGAAACCGAGUCUUAACUGGGCGUUAAGUUGCAGGGUAUAGACCCGAAACCCGGUGAUCUAGCCAUGGGCAGGUUGAAGGUUGGGUAACACUAACUGGAGGACCGAACCGACUAAUGUUGAAAAAUUAGCGGAUGACUUGUGGCUGGGGGUGAAAGGCCAAUCAAACCGGGAGAUAGCUGGUUCUCCCCGAAAGCUAUUUAGGUAGCGCCUCGUGAAUUCAUCUCCGGGGGUAGAGCACUGUUUCGGCAAGGGGGUCAUCCCGACUUACCAACCCGAUGCAAACUGCGAAUACCGGAGAAUGUUAUCACGGGAGACACACGGCGGGUGCUAACGUCCGUCGUGAAGAGGGAAACAACCCAGACCGCCAGCUAAGGUCCCAAAGUCAUGGUUAAGUGGGAAACGAUGUGGGAAGGCCCAGACAGCCAGGAUGUUGGCUUAGAAGCAGCCAUCAUUUAAAGAAAGCGUAAUAGCUCACUGGUCGAGUCGGCCUGCGCGGAAGAUGUAACGGGGCUAAACCAUGCACCGAAGCUGCGGCAGCGACACUAUGUGUUGUUGGGUAGGGGAGCGUUCUGUAAGCCUGUGAAGGUGUGCUGUGAGGCAUGCUGGAGGUAUCAGAAGUGCGAAUGCUGACAUAAGUAACGAUAAAGCGGGUGAAAAGCCCGCUCGCCGGAAGACCAAGGGUUCCUGUCCAACGUUAAUCGGGGCAGGGUGAGUCGACCCCUAAGGCGAGGCCGAAAGGCGUAGUCGAUGGGAAACAGGUUAAUAUUCCUGUACUUGGUGUUACUGCGAAGGGGGGACGGAGAAGGCUAUGUUGGCCGGGCGACGGUUGUCCCGGUUUAAGCGUGUAGGCUGGUUUUCCAGGCAAAUCCGGAAAAUCAAGGCUGAGGCGUGAUGACGAGGCACUACGGUGCUGAAGCAACAAAUGCCCUGCUUCCAGGAAAAGCCUCUAAGCAUCAGGUAACAUCAAAUCGUACCCCAAACCGACACAGGUGGUCAGGUAGAGAAUACCAAGGCGCUUGAGAGAACUCGGGUGAAGGAACUAGGCAAAAUGGUGCCGUAACUUCGGGAGAAGGCACGCUGAUAUGUAGGUGAGGUCCCUCGCGGAUGGAGCUGAAAUCAGUCGAAGAUACCAGCUGGCUGCAACUGUUUAUUAAAAACACAGCACUGUGCAAACACGAAAGUGGACGUAUACGGUGUGACGCCUGCCCGGUGCCGGA